AAUGAACGCUGGCGGCGUGCCUAACACAUGCAAGUCGCACGAGAACGCUUCAGCUUGCUGGAGCUAGUAAAGUGGCGCACGGGUGAGUAACGCGUGGGUAAUCUACCUCCGAAUUGGGGAUAACACUGCGAAAGCGGUGCUAAUACCGAAUGACAUCUCCGGGACUUUGGUUGCGGGGAUCAAAGGUGGCCUCUACAUGUAAGCUACCGUUUGGAGAUGAGCCCGCGUACCAUUAGCUAGUUGGUAGGGUAAUGGCCUACCAAGGCUGCGAUGGUUAGCUGGUCUGAGAGGAUGAUCAGCCACACUGGAACUGACACACGGUCCAGACUCCUACGGGUGGCAG
rnacentral:rRNA from 1 species